rnacentral:misc_RNA from 1 species
UGUGGGAGCGAGCCUGCUCGCGAUAGCGCUGUGUCAGUCACAUCAAUGUUGAUUGAACUGACGCUAUCGCGAGCAGGCUCGCUCCCACA